GCUGGCUGGCUGGCUGCUAACGGGCGCAGUCUCAGCCGAGAGCAAUCCCUACGGAGACAGAAAACAACAUCUGCUUCUCGCAAGAAAGCGCGUACCCAGGAGCAGCGGUCGGGACUGGAGCGGGGUCCGCGCGGCAGGGGCUGGCCCCAGGCACAAGAUGGCGGCCGAGGCCGUUGCUCCGAGGAGGGGGCAUCUCCCGCCGCUCCCCGCGGGCUUUUCCAUCAAAACCCCGGCCGGCCGUGGCUGCCGUUCCCAGCACCGCUCCUGGGUAUCUUGGGGCUGGCCUGUCCGAGGCACGGUGUCUCUCCGGGCCGGAGCAGCGCGGGGCAGGUGGGAGUCUCCGUUGUGAGAGGGACUCCUGGCAGUGCGAACUUUUGAGUCACGAGUGAUAUUUGUAGAGAUCCUGGUAUAACAGUUCAGCAGUCAGUCACACCUGGGAGUUCUCAGAUUCUCUCCCUCGUCCCACCAAGGCUGUAUGGUGAUUAGCUCUCUGCUGGGUUAAACUAUGACAAUUGUUUAUUGCUACAGAAGCACAGAAGAGAUGAUACACAUGUGUCUAGGUAAAAACAUUAACAAGAUAUUGGGGUUCUGAAAGAUUUUUCUCUAAGAGUGCACAACCUGCUCUAACAAUCAAUAUAAACUCAGGCUUGCUACACAUUUGAACCUGGGAUGUGCUUUGGCAUUGGAAGAUAGCCAGCCAAUUUAGGAGUAUACAGCACAGGAAUUAUGAAAAAUAAUUUUUAAUAGGAAAAAGUUCAUUUGUGGAGUAAAUGCAAUGUAGACAAGCAAAAUGCAAGCAUCUUAUUUUCCUCUUUCUAUGCCAGUAGGUGCUAUACAGCACACCAGGAAGCAGGGAGCCAAAAUGCUGAGGGGAGCAUGACUACAUGGACCUCUGGACAAAGCAGUUUUGUGGAAUCAAGAUUGGAAAUACUAGGCUGAAGGGAAGAUCAGCCUGAAAUAACUUAGAGAUCAUCAGUUUCCUCUUGGGAGCGUUAAUUUAGAUGAAGCAGAUAUGCAGUGGCUGCCCUAACAAUGAAAAUUAUUAGAGAGAGUGAUUCAUUUCCUCUUUUUCCUUUUUAGUACCAUCUGGCAGUGUGAAUUCGAGACCAGAAGUAAAAAAUGCAGUUUUGUUCAGCCUGACAAAAACUGGUUAACGUGAAGUGUUUAGAGAAAGGUGCUUGAUUGCUUUACAACCAUUACUUACCUAGGAUGUUUUCCAAAGGCUUAUGUAUAAAAAAAAAGUUAGUUUACCAGGCAGUGAUCCCUUUCCAAUAUCAAAUAAAAAAAAGGGGAAAAGGGAUUAUUGCAUGAGCUGAGCCACUCCCCACCCAGAUGUCACAGCUUGCCAUACCAGUUCUCUGGAAGUUCACAGGGAGCCAGUGACUUUCCCAUUUAAGCAGUUACAAGCUUUCAUUCACUCAUUCAUUCAUUCAUUCAUUCAUUCAUUCAUUCAUUCAUUCAUUCAUUCAUUCAUUCAUUCAUGUCUGUUUCAAGGCACUUACAAAGAAAGGACUAGCCCUAGAGACUUUCCUUACUAGGAAGAAAGAAGAGAAUAUGCUUUUUCCCCUCAUUCAUUGUUCACAAGACUGAUUUGGACUAGCUGUUGAAUCUUAAACCUGUAAAUUUUUAAACUAUUGCCUUCGUGCGAAGGUCUCCAUUUCCUACAGUGCACACCUUGAAAUAAUACCCAAUAUGACACACACUACCAUCCCAGGAGGAAGAAUAUGCUUUGCCCUUGCCUAGCCUUCUGAAGAGAGGAUGCUGCUUGCAGCAGCCCUGAAGCGCUAAACCAGCAGGAAGAACCCCAGAAAACACAAAACACACAAGGUUCUUCAUACUUCUGUGUAGGUGUUAGAUACACAAAGGAACGCAUUAAUGCUAGUGGAAUACAUGUUAUCUUUCAAUUAUUUCAACUGUCAGGAUCUUUAGGAAGGUUUUAAUAAAAGUUUCAAAGCAUCUCAAAAAAAUCACUAGAUUUAAUUUUCCACCAUAUCCAAACUGCAAAGGUCCUUAAAACAGUUCUAAACUUUGCAAACAACUACAACUUGGUUCUAACAAAAUACUCGGGAUGUUAAAUGACAGAUGUACUUACCUAUUUCAUCAUUUACAAAGCAAAGCACUUAAAGCCCAAGCAGUGAAUAUUAAAAGCCAUAAUAUAUUUUACUUUUCCUACAUGACAAACAUCCAUUAUUCUUCUCUUACUCACAUUUACAUAAAAAGAAUGCAUUUUUCAUCAUUACAGGAUAACUUUUACUCUGACCUGUAGAUUUUCUCCGUGUAUUUGUUGAACUAGUUUCAGUUUCUAAAUAUUUUAUAUUAGGUGUUACAUGGGAAAUACUAUCAUUCAUUAACUUUCUGAACUGACAAUUUUAAUUAGUUUUCCAGAGGAUAGCAUUGAACAUACAGUUUCAUAAAGUGUAUAACAGUGUUUAUGGAAAAAUUAUGCAUCUCUAUUUGCAUUUGGGAAUGAUUAAAAUAUUAUUAAUGUGUAGAUACAUCUUUUAAGUUUGUAUUGGGAUUAGAGCUGAAGGUUAGUUUUGAAAAUAAGCUUUUAACCUAUCAAAAACUGACUCUGUAUUUGAGCUAUAAGUCAAAUGCAAAGGAAUCCUAAUGUUCCUUCCAGUCUUCCACUGGAUCAGAUACCUGUAUAGUCAAACACAAAGGCUCCUUUCUCCCAAGCAUUCUUACAUGUGCUUACAGCUGCUGCUCAGAGCAGACCCACAGCACACAAUAUGUGGAUCAGGAUUAACACUGAUCCUACUAGAUUAAAUUAGUUUCUUAGUAAGCACAGGAAAGUAGGGUCAAAAGGCAUCUCCUUGGUCAUCUUUCUUCCUGCUUACAGCAGUGUAAAAUAUUUGCACCUUGAUUACAUCAUGCAGAGGCCAUAAAGCUAAUGACGUUGUUAAGUAUUCAUCAAUUUAACUCUCAUUGCUUGUGUUGCCUAAGUACUUCAACAUACUAAUAUAAUUUGGCUAGUCCACUGCUUCUAAUACAGAUUGGAUGACAUGAAAAACUUGCCCACAAAUCAACAUCCAUCUUUUAAUUACUUACAAUUCUUAAUUGUGCUAAUGAGAUAAAAAGAACCCACUAAGUUAAAUAUGCAAAAUGUUUAGAGGAUGACAGCCACACUAUCCAUCCUAAUUCUUGGAAAUUAAUGCAGAUCCACACAACUCCCAAAUUUAAAUUCAUCUGUAGUUUUGGCUAGUCAGACUCUAGAUCCUGACUCUGUUGAGACAGCACAUGAUCUCCCAACAUUUACCAGUCUUAUUUCAACACAGUGCUUACAGUAGUGCAGUACUUUUAAUAAUGUGUGGUUUCUGGCAGUAAAUUUCUUUUCUGGCAUUUUUUUCAUGUAAGUCUAUCCAUACUGAAGCCAUAGCUCCCUUCUUUAUUCUCAUUUGUCUUUGCUUGCUGAUGAGAAUUCUGAAUGGAAGAGAGGAAGUUGAAGGGAAAAUUAGGAAAAAAAAUCAAUUAAGGGACAGCAAAAAUGCUCUGAAUGAAAGGUGUGAAAAGAUGCAAGUCAAUACAAGAGAAACCUAUCAAUUUCCUUAUUGUGACUAUAUUAGAAAACUGUGGCUUCUGCUUGCCAAGAGCAUGAAAUCAGUAAUUCUUUCCUUUAUCAUUAUAGAUUAUGGUGACAUGACUUAGGUAUGGUAAGAGGAGAGAUCUAAUUACCAACUGAUGAGUCAUGCUAUACAAUUUUAGUUGUAAUCAGUCAUGUUCUAAACAGAAUUCCACUUGCGUGCUGUGGAUGGAAAGACACGAUGAUUUAUUUUUCAAACUGGCAGUGUCAUUUGAUAUAUUACAAAAAAGCAACAAAAAGAAGUAACUGUCUAACAAAAUAUUUACACAGCAUGAAAAAUGCCUACAUUUCUACAGGUAUCAUAACACCAGAUUUCAGUCCUGAAUGUGAAUGGUCAUCGCACAGUCCGCCAUUUCCUACAUGAGACCACAACGCCUUUUCCCACUAUGUCCCUUCACAUUUUAUACUGAAUUUAAUGUGCAAUUCUAUUGCCAGGUUUUUCAGUCUUGCAAAAUCCUUCAGUUUUAACUUGUUCUGACAAAACUUUGUAUCUUCGGCACCGCUCAUCCCUUUUUCUGUCUUCUGAGAAUACGACGAUUGCUACAAUGUGCAACAGACAGCCAUGCAAAACUCUUUUUUCUGUUGACUUUCAUUCCCAUUUUUAACUGAUUAUUUAUACAUGAUAAUUUAUCCUAUCCAUUGCCAGCCUGGUUUUCUAACAAACCUUUGCCAAAAGCCCCUUAGAAUUAAGUAGGCUUUACUAAUAAAUUCAUUUUAUGUGUGUUUGUAGUCCCUUCAAAGGAGGCCAAGAGUCUUAUAAAGAUGAACUUUAAAGGAGUCAUGAUGACUCUUCUCAAGUAGGUCAUGUAUUUCCAUGUUUACAUUCAUAAUUUAUAGUUUUCACUAAUUAGCCUGUGAAAAUGAUCAAGCUUAGAGGCCCCCUACACUUCUGUAAAGAGUGGUAAUAUUUUUCAGUCUUCUGGUACCAAAGAAAUUUAAGCCUUCCCAGUAGUGUUACUGAAUCCAUUAACUCACCUGCAAUCACCUUUCAUUGCAAAUACCAGUUGAUUCUAGUCUUCUGUUUGUUACUGAUCACUUGCUGUAUUUUUCCCUUACCUUUUCCUAUGACUGCUUCAAACUUCAUUCAGUCCUCUGAUGAUUGUUCCCCUGAACCCUCCAUACAGGGUUCUGACAUUUGAUUCAAACUUCGGCUCUAUGAAAUCAUCAAAUGAAAGAUGUUCCAAAGAAAAAAGGUCACUAUUGAAAACGUAACAUUUAAAUACCAUAAGUAGAUCAUGCAGCGGACAUGGGCACCUCAUCUGUUUGCUGUAAGACUUGUGCUAACUCUGAUAAAUACUGAGUGGCAUUUAUCACCCAAACCUACCAGCAGAUAUAGGCAGAACAGCCCCAAACACCUUGAGGCCUCUGCAUAACGCAGCAUUUGUUUAAAGACCUUACCUGUGAACUAGGGGUCCUUGGAUUUUGACCUUGGUAAUGCUGGGUCAUACACUGGAGACCUUAUGGAGCAAAGCAACUGGAUUUGUCAAGGAAACUCAGCCACAUGUAGAGAGAAAUUCACCUGCAGGGUCUGGAGGAACAGACUGGAGACAAGAGGCUUUGUCAAACCAAUCCCAGCUCUGAGCAGAAGCACAAACAUUGACAGCCCUGUUUGGCUGAAUCCUGCAAAUGGGGAUGCUGGCCUCCCUCAGAGCCUACAAAGAGAAUAUGUUUGGCUCAGUGCCUAACUUCUACAUUAUUAUUAGGAGAGAUAGAUUAUAACUUCUGUGAUUCAGAUUCUCCUUCAUAAAACAUGUGGAUCAGAGUCCUGCCCUAUACCUCAGGGGGAAAAACACAUUAAAUAUUUUAAAAUGUUCCAAUAUAGCUCCUGGAAUUGAGCUCUCAAAAUUCAUGCCUUACAGGGAAUUCAGAGAAUUCAGAGCAAUUAGUUUUGUUAAUUGCUGUGUUUUGUAAUCUCGUGAACAUUUCACGAAUUUUCCUGUCCAGCUCUGUUGAAGAAUUUUUUAAAUUAUCUAAGCCAGCUUAGACAAGGACCCUACUCUAAAAUCUAGGCUGAAAAUGCUAUGAAAAUGACAGUGUUUGGGUACUUUGGCAUUUGAUACCAAUUUCACACUAGAUGUUCAUAAAGAGAAUGUGUGUGACAAAAUUGAAUGUAAUGAAUGUUUUUUCAAUAUUGGAGAAGUUUAAGACUUAGUUGGAGACUCAGGCGGAUUUUUAUUUUAUCAUAUAAAUUUGAUCUCCCAUAAUAAAUAUAAAGUUAUUAUAGCGUUUAUAAAAUAGGUAUUAUUAUUUACUUAAUGGCCCACAACAACUUCCACAGAGAAUUUAUAUUUCACAGAUCGUUGACUUGAUAGAUUGUGACAGCUCUUCCAAAGAUGUUUUGGUCCACUGGGUCAUUACAGAUAGCAUGAACAGACAGUAAAUCUGUGUCCUACAUACCCCAGUAACAUUUUGUUCAAAACAUUUUAGUGAAUGGGAUCAAAUCUGUUCAAAACAUUUAUUUUAUUUUUAAAAGACAAACCAGCAUGAGGCACAUCACAGACUAUUUGCUAGCAAGUGCUUGAAAAAGACAUGGUGCAAAUUCUACAAACGCGCUUUUACACAUGCCCUGUUGAAAAAAGCAGAUAAGUCACAAAAGAUAGAGGAAGAAAUAAGCCUGUCUCAGAGAACUUACACUGUAAACCCUCUUAUCUCAAAGAUAUCCCCUGCUAGUUUCAUACACAGUAGUGUUUACAAGUAAUGAAUAAGCUCUCUGGAUUUUGAUUAUUACAAGAUAUUAAGUCCCAGCCCUGAAGACUACACAUAACCUUCCUCCCAUUAAUUGCCCAUUGCUUUCACAGAAAUUGUUUGCACAUGUACUACUUUAUCUUGCAUGAUUUCAGACUAGUUUUGGGAGGCAGAGAAAUCCUUUAGCAAAUGAGAAGAAGAACAUUGAGCAGAAAGGCUGUAGUAAUCUCUAAUCAUGAAGCAUCACUUCUAGACAAGGUGUAAAAUUUUAAGAUCUCUUAGACUCUUUAAAAUAAAGAUGAACAUUACUGAUGCCCUCUUAGGAUCCAGAAAUUGGCUGAAAAAAGCCUUUAUUUUUCCUUUGAACAUCACGAUAAAAUAAAUAAUUCUUCCAGCUGCUAUCCCAUCUUGUCAAAAGUGGACAACCUAAACUAGAAGCUGUUUGCUAAAGUAAGCCAUAAAGAAGACAGUGAGAUCUUGAAUUCUAAUGCCAAGAAUGGCACCCCUCAGCCCUGAUUUAAAUUCCAAAACCUCAAUUACUACAUCCAGAUCAGAUCCACAACAACAACUCACAACAGAAGCAUGCCAACAAAGCACCAGAUAGAAAGAUAUGGGGGAGGGAAUAUAUUUUUUAAAAAGUCAGUAAACAGUGGUAGGCAAAAAAGAGGGCAACAUUUUGACUUGAUUAGGCUUAGAUCCAGGAGAGCAGAGAUUUAGCACUUAGCCUAAGGUUGCUACUGAUUUCCUCAGAACAGCUCUCCAACAAACACUACUGAAGAGCAAAUCAGUUUAGAGGCAUCUAACCAAUCUCUUCCUGCCAAAGGUUGAAAAGGGGGUGAUUCUAAACCAGCUGCUGCUUGGGAGUAGUGAAAUUCUAGGGCAACAGGCACACUAUUAAUAACAGAAAAUGUAACAGAGGGGUGUGGAAACGGCAGGCUGAUAUAUAAAUAUAAAGGCCAAGGCUUUAACUCCGAGAGCUGCAUGCAGUGUGGGCUGGCAUUAUCUACCUUUGCUCUUGGCCUCCUGGCUGGCACAAGGUCUAUCUUCCACCAUGGCUUUCUGCAGAGUUCCCACUCUGGUGUAAGGCAUUUCACACUGAGGCACCCCAGCAUCCAGAUUUUGGAAGAAGAAGAGGGUGUACCAACUUCAAAAUAUUCAUUUGAAGUUACUGCUGAGAGGCUGAUGAAGUCUUGUGCAGAAUACUUCCAUUUUAUGUCUAACAAAGCAAGUACCAUGCUUCUACUAAUCAGUUGUAUGGCUCACAAAGCUCUAUCACUUGCAUGGAAAACAGUAUUAACCACUUCUUAAUCUUACUCUAUUUUCAGUAUUGAUUAACAUAUGCUUUGAGACCAUAUCAUAUUUUAAUUGGGUCAAAGUAUUUACAAACAGGACCUAGGUAAGAAGGUAGAAAAAAGAGAUGAAACAAGAUUUUGGUGCAAUUACCAACUUUAAAACACCAGAUUUUAGCCUUUCUUCUCUUUGAAAAUUAUGAAAUAAGAACGCACCAAGCUUUCAUAUUAGAAGUGAAGAGAGACGGAGUAGAAAGUACCUUCUCUGCAUUCUUUUACUCAGGAUAAUAGAUAACAGCCUGAGGUGUUAGAGUGCCUAUUUUCUCCAUACUUUACCAAAAUCCCACUUGCAUUGUCUUCUACACUUCUGGCCAAGAGCUAUGACUACUGUUUAUUUUCCUGGGCAACUGAGAUGACUUUUACACUGCUUGGCCUGCUGGUGCUCAAAAUAAAGUGAGUAGCCCCAUCACAGACACUUAGGACAGUAUGAUAACAAGGAGGUGAUUAAUUUACAGAAAUUGAUUUAUGCAACAGGUUUUGUCCUUAGUUUUAUCUAAGAAUGCUUCAUGGCUAGAUUUCAUGCUUCUGAAAUGAGAUUAUUAUUCAGAAUUUGUUGUGUAUAAAAGCAGCUGCAUAAUUUGUAGGUUGGUAACUAUUGACGAUCAUGUUUGUCUUGAAAGAGUGCUCUUCAGUAAAACUGAUUAUUCAAAUAUGCUAUGGAUUGGAUGCCUGAAAUCUAAUAAAUACCAAAAGAUAAAAGUCUUCCAGUGGCUCUGCAUAGAUGAGUGGGAUUCUGGGCAACAGGCAGAUCUACUGAAUUCUAGAGAAGAGUCCCAAUAAGGGCAAUGCUAUACUUUACUAAAUUCUGGGCUGUCUACUGGAAGAUUAAUGCAAAGAUCCAAUCCAUUAACACAUGUUGCAGGCCUUUUCUGUUUGUAACCAGAAAAAUAACAUUUAAUUUUACUAUCACAUCCACAAAUAAAUAUCUGCAUGUGUUGUGACACAUUUGUGACACGAACAUUUGUUGCUGUGAAGGGUGAUCCAUCCAGAUCCUGGUCUGAUAUUACUGUGGUUAACCUGCAGCUGGGAUUCCCCCACAAUCUCAGCUGUGGAGCACAUCUCUGUACACUCUCCUCGUUCCCUUUCUAGGGACAGUUUUCAAACCUGACAUUUUUGGACCAAUAAAGUUCUGGGGCAUGUGAUGAACAUGUGUCCCCCAUGUGCCAGUCCUUCCCUCACCUGCCAGGCAUCAGAGGGCGCAGCCCCUCCCUGGGCUGAUGCCGUGCAGGUUUCUGUGAAAGGCUUGUCCCUGGUCUAACAGUGACACAAGGAGGACAGCAGGAUGACUGACAUUGUCUCUGUUUUCUGUAGCUCUUUCUACUGUUAUUACUGGAUUAGCAGCUGUCCCCAGACACCGCACAUCUCUGCUGGAACAGCUAUUUUUAAGUACCUCUGAAAACAUCUCCCCUUUCUUCCUAAAUUGACUAUAGGCAAAGCAAAAUAGUGGUUUUACAUACCCAUAACAAAUAAGAAGCCUAGAAACUACUGAAGCAUAUUCUUUUUCAUUUUAUUUAAUCAAGCUUGUCCCUUUCAAGAUUCCUGAUACCCAUUCUUUAGGUUUCCCUUCCUAGGCCAAAACCUGUUACAACAUUUAUAUAACAGGAAGACAAAUACUUGUUAGACAUGUAGUUAAUCACUCAAAUUCAUUACUUCAGCC